UUUUUUUUUUUUUUUUUCCUAUUUUGUUCACUGCUGUGUCUCCAGUACCAGAAAAACCCAUGUUAAAUAUCUGUUGAUAAAACAGUAAUCUCCUCUAAUACUGGAAGCAAAACAGACAUGCUAAUCUUCUUUCAAGGUGGCACAUGGUUCUCACUCACAACAUGGGACAUUCUCCAGAGAAUGUGAAAAGUACCUUCUGGAAAGAACAUUUUUUUAAAAAAAGAAACUUUACAUGUAAGAAGAGUUGCAAAGACAUUAGGAGUGCAUAAGCCAUGAGAUCCUGCUGUAUGGCACAGGGAACCAUAUCCAGUCACUGGUAUGGAAACAUGAUGGAGAAUAAUGUGAGAAAAAGAAUGUAUAUAACUGUAUAACUUGGGCCACUUUCUGUACAGCAGAAAUUGAGAGAACACUGCAAAUCAACUCUGAUUUAAAAAUUUGAAAAAAAGAAGAGUUGCAAAGAAAGUUCCCACGUGCCCUUCACCCAACUUCCCCAAAUGUUAACAUCUUCUCUAACCAUGUGCAUAUCCUCAAACUAAGAAAUUAACAUUGGUACAAUAUCGUUACCUGAACUAGAGAGUUUAUUCAGGUUUCUCCAGUGUUUCCAUUAAUGCCCUUAUCGUGGUCAGUCAUCACGAUGCCUCAGUCUCCUCUAACCAGCAACAGCUUCUUUGUCUUCCCUUGAUUUUCAUGAUCUUACACUUUUGAAAAGUACUUGGGCAGAUAUACUGUAGAAUGUCUCUCAGUUUGGGUUUGUCUCAUAUUUUCUCAUGACUAAUCUGGGGUGUAGACUGUGGAGAAGAAUACCAUAGGGGGAAGCACCCUUCUCACUGCAUCAUAUUAGAGGACAUAGGAGGUCACCAUUAUUAUUAUUACUGACCUUAACCUUGACUGUUUGGUAAAAAUGGUGCUGCCAGGUCCCUCCACUGCAAGGCUUCUGUUUUUCCCUCUCCCUUUCUCUAUUUGUUAGGAAUGACUAUGUCAGCCCACACUCAGGAAUACUUUUAACUACACGUGAUGUUGCUUUAUGUGCCGAUUUUAGAACCUGAUUCCUGCAAAAAUGCACCUCAACUUGCACACAGUCAUCAAGAGAUGAUAGGCAUAUAAAAUGUAGGUGGCCUUGCUGUAUCGCACUACGCAACACUCUGUAACAAUCUAUGUGGGAAAAGAAUCCGAAAGAGAAUGGAUGUGUGUACAUGUAUAAUGGAAUCACUCUGUUGUACAGCCACACUUCAAUAAAACUUAAACAAGAAAAAGAAAAAAAAUGUAGGUGGCCUGACAAAAAUGAGAUCAAUACUCAGCUAUAUAACAGGAUUAUUUCUGUGGACUUGAUCAACAUAAACCACCCCCCCCUUUUUUUUUGGCAGAGUAUGAUCACACAAAUGGAAAAAGUAGAGCACUGAAGGACUGAAAUAUUUUCCCAAUAUGACAGGAUAAAACAACAAAUGAGCUGAAUCCAAGAGUAAUCCCCCUUGCUGUAUCCUUGGCAAUGAUCCAAUUCCUUGCUUGUUGCAAAGGGGUGACACCCUUCGUUUUAUUAACUGUGUUCCAUCAGUAGCAUUUAUUUAACAGUACUGCAGGGAGAAAACAAAAUGUGUGGCCAAGACUGUAAACUGUCCCCAGAUUCUUCCCAUAUACUAGAACCUUCAAUUUGUGGUUUAGGCACAGGGUUACCCAGAAUAAAGAGCAUAUUCAAGCCACCAUUGGAGCUAGAUGUGGCCAGUGGAUUAAUUUCCAGACAAUAAAACACAAGCAGACAUUCUAAACUCAGCACCUAAGGCUAACCACUGCCCCUCACAAGCUUAGAGUCCACUGAGAGCAAGGGGAACCCAAACUUAUAGGUCAUAUUUGUCCUAAUUUUCAAGAGUUCCCUGAUGGCCUAGUGGGUUAAGGAGCUGGUGUUGUCGCUGCUGUGACUGAGUCCCUGCUGCGGCGCAGGUUCAGUGCCUGGCCUGGGAACUUCUACAUACUGCAGGCAUGGCCAAAAAAAAUUUUUUUUAAUUUACCCUAAUUUUCAGAUAAAGAAACCAAGGUUCAGCAAUGUUAAGGCACCUGCUGAAUUCCUAACUAGUCAAGUGGAGCAGCCAAAGGUGAAGGCAAGUCUGAUGGAAAUGUCAAGUUUGCCCAAUAAAAUACAGGGUAUAAAGUUAGAUUCAAAUUUCAGAUAAAGGGACAUAUUGAUGUUAAAGUUUUUGAUCUUUAUUCAAAAUCCAAAUCUGACUGAACACCUUGCAUUUUUGGUUGCUGUAUCUGGCAACCUUAGGCCCUCCCACACCUUGAUACCAUCUGAUAAUGCAUGGCACAGUCACACCACACACCAUGACACGGCAGACCUUCCUACACAGUGUUCCCUCUGGAGCUACCUGAUGACCUGAGUCAAACCAAGCAGGACACAUAUGCAAACCUAAGGAACCAGCAACAACUCAUCAACAAAAUAAAGAAAACUCUAUUCUCAGAAUUCCAGGGAGGCAUAGAGGCCACCCAGCCUGACGAGCCUGCCCUCUCUGAGAGAAGCAGGCAGAGUAAGCAUACACAGGGUCACUCAAGCUUUGGGAAGUAGUAGAAGGAGCAGCCUACAGCCGCAGGAUCACAGAAAGAGGGCACCCAGGAUUUAAGGCGAAGAGGAAUGUUAUUUUCUCUGUGGCUAAUGCUUCUUUUCAUCUUUCCAGUUAAAAAAAAAAAAAUCCCUGCUACAUAGCACUGGGAACUAUAUCUAAUCACUUGUGAUGGAGUGUGAUGGAGGGUAAUGUGAGAAAAAGAAUAUAUAUAUAUAUAUAUAUAUAUAUAUAUAUAUAUAUGUGACUGGGUCACUUUGCUGUACAGUAGAAAAUUGGCAGAACACUGUAAACCAACUGCAAUGGAAAAAAAUAAAAAUCACUAAAAAAAGAGUGGAUAUAUGAAUGAUAGUAUGGCAUAAGGUGGAAUAGUAUGCAACAAUGAAAAUAAAAUGUCUACUGCUACUUGCAACAACAUGAAAAAAAAAUCCAUGGCUCUGAUGCCUCUGAGGGGUCAAUUCCUCAAUGCAAAGAAGCUCCAAGCCUAGCUUGAAGUAUCAGAAGAAAGGCUAGGAGGAAA
rnacentral:lncRNA from 1 species